CGAAGUGUCUCUGUAAGGGAAUUAUAUUUUUCCACAAAGAUGGACACUUCGAGUCUCACUUCUCUUCCGGAGGAUAUCUCAGAGGAAGAGCCUCAAAAGCUCUCAGCUUUCUCCAACAUUCCCAAUCGUCCAGCAACGCAGACAUCAUUACAAAAAUACUCCCCUUUAGAAUGGUCUGGAUAUUUCGAUCGAGAGGAGGAUAUUUGCAUUCCAGGUUCAAAUGAUGUAUUUCAUGUAUAUGUAGCAGGAUCUGAAGGACCAGUUGUUUUUUGUCUGCAUGGAGGUGGUUAUUCAGGGCUUUCAUUUGCCUUGGCAGCUAGUAAGAUUAAGGAGAAGGCUCGGGUAGUUGCUAUGGACUUGAGAGGACAUGGGAAGUCAUGCACAGAAAAUGAUUUGGACCUAUCUAUUGAGACUCUAUGCAAUGAUGUUUUGGCUGUUUUGAAGACUUCAUAUGGAGAUACUCCUCCUGCAGUUGUGCUUGUUGGCCACAGCAUGGGAGGUUCAGUUGCAGUGCAUGUUGCUGCAAGGAAGGCAAUUUCAAGCUUGGCUGGGCUGAUUGUUGUAGAUGUUGUAGAGGGAACAGCAAUGGCUUCAUUGAUUCACAUGCAAAAGAUCCUAUCAAGCAGAAUGCAGUAUUUUCACGCCAUUGAAAAAGCGAUUGAAUGGAGUGUGAAAGGUGGCUCUCUAAGGAACAUUGAGUCUGCUCGUCUUUCGGUUCCAUCAACAUUGAAGUAUGACGAUUCAAAGAAAUGUUAUACAUACCGAACACGGCUAGAAGAAACAGAAAGCUAUUGGAGAGGCUGGUAUGAGGGUCUUUCUGAAAAGUUCUUGUCUUGUCCUGUGCCAAAGCUUUUAUUGUUGGCUGGAACUGAUAGACUGGACAGAACCCUUACAAUAGGUCAAAUGCAAGGCAAGUUUCAAAUGGUAGUUGUGCGACACACUGGGCAUGCUAUACAGGAAGAUGCCCCUGAUGAAUUUGCUUCUCUUGUACUUAACUUUAUCUCUCGUAAUCGAAUUGGUCCCCAUGGCAUUGAGGGUAAUGAUACACCAACCUGCUAGUUCUUUUUAUGAGGCACAAACAGGAGAAUUUGUCCUGGAAGUGGAAGAGCUACUUAAACUCUGUGAAACCCUCACAAGAUCCCAGGGCUACGUCGGCCACAACAAUAAUAAUGUUGUGAUUGAUAUCAAACGACUCACGCAGGGGGCACAGUUGCUUGUUUUUGAAAAACAUCUGAGAUGAAAUUGUAAUGUCAAGGCUGAAUCCACUAAUUUUAUUUGUAAGUUCAGGUAGGAUAGCAAUUUAAAGAGGGUUGGAGCAAGCUUUCCAUGCAGAUAUACCCUUUUAAAGUUAGUCUCAACAAGGUUUGUUUGCAUAUUUUGUACACUGGUUUUUUGCUGCACCUGCAAAAGUUAAAUAGAAUGCUUAUUGCACUC